GCUCAGAUUGAACGCUGGCGGCAUGCCUUACACAUGCAAGUCGAACGGCAGCAUGAUCUAGCUUGCUAGAUUGAUGGCGAGUGGCGAACGGGUGAGUAAUACAUCGGAACGUGCCCUGUAGUGGGGGAUAACUAGUCGAAAGAUUAGCUAAUACCGCAUACGACCUGAGGGUGAAAGUGGGGGACCGCAAGGCCUCAUGCUAUAGGAGCGGCCGAUGUCUGAUUAGCUAGUUGGUGGGGUAAAGGCCCACCAAGGCGACGAUCAGUAGCUGGUCUGAGAGGACGAUCAGCCACACUGGGACUGAGACACGGCCCAGACUCCUACGGGAGGCAGCAGUGGGGAAUUUUGGACAAUGGGCGAAAGCCUGAUCCAGCAAUGCCGCGUGUGUGAAGAAGGCCUUCGGGUUGUAAAGCACUUUUGUCCGGAAAGAAAUGGCUCUGGUUAAUACCUGGGGUCGAUGACGGUACCGGAAGAAUAAGGACCGGCUAACUACGUGCCAGCAGCCGCGGUAAUACGUAGGGUCCAAGCGUUAAUCGGAAUUACUGGGCGUAAAGCGUGCGCAGGCGGUUGUGCAAGACCGAUGUGAAAUCCCCGAGCUUAACUUGGGAAUUGCAUUGGUGACUGCACGGCUAGAGUGUGUCAGAGGGGGGUAGAAUUCCACGUGUAGCAGUGAAAUGCGUAGAGAUGUGGAGGAAUACCGAUGGCGAAGGCAGCCCCCUGGGAUAACACUGA
rnacentral:rRNA from 1 species